AUGCAAACACAUUACACAAGAAAAACAAUGCAAACAACUAGAAUUAUACAAAAUUUAAAGAUCCUCAGAGCCAUUCCACAAGUGGAAGUUGCAGACAAUCUACAUAGCAUCAGAUUCUGUCCGCCCGUCUGCUUUUCCUCAUCAUUGAACAUUUUCUUCAAAACUCAAAAUCAACGCCAACAGAAAACAAAAACAGGGCAAUGCUUCAGAUAA
rnacentral:lncRNA from 1 species